UAUUCUCGGUUGAUCCUGCCGGACGGCCAUUGCUAUCGGAGUCCGAUUUAGCCAUGCUAGUCGUGCGAGUUCAGACUCGCGGCACCGAGCUCAGUAACACGUGGCCAAACUACCCUACAGGAGACGGAUACCCUCGGGAAACUGAGGUCUAACCCGUCAUAUCGAUCUCAGGCUUGAAUCGCAGAGAUCACAAAACGCCCCGGCCCUCUAGGAUGUGGCUGCGGUUGAUUAGGUAGACGGUGGGGCAACGGCCCACCGUGCCCAUAAUCAGUACAGGUUGUGAGAGCAAGAGCCUGGAGACGGUAUCUGAGACAAGAUUCCGGGCCCUACGGGGCGCAGCAGGCGCGAAACCUUUACACUGCACGCCCGUGCGAUAAGGGGACUCCGAGUGCGAGGGCAUAUCGUCCUCGCUUUUGUGUAUCGUAGGGUGGUGCACCAACAAGGGCUGGGCAAGACCGGUGCCAGCCGCCGCGGUAAUACCGGCAGCCCAAGUGAUGGCCGAUCUUAUUGGGCCU
rnacentral:rRNA from 1 species